rnacentral:rRNA from 1 species
GACGAACGCUGGCGGCGUGCUUAACACAUGCAAGUCGAACGGAAAGGCCCUGCUUUUGUGGGGUGCUCGAGUGGCGAACGGGUGAGUAACACGUGAGUAACCUGCCCUUGACUUUGGGAUAACUUCAGGAAACUGGGGCUCAUACCGGAUAGGAGCUCCUGCUGCAUGGUGGGGGUUGGAAAGUUUCGGCGGUUGGGGAUGGACUCGCGGCUUAUCAGCUUGUUGGUGGGGUAGUGGCUUACCAAGGCUUUGACGGGUAGCCGGCAUGAGAGGGUGACCGGCAACAUUGGGACUGAGAUACGGCCCAGACUCCUACGGGAGGCAGCAGUGGGGAAUAUUGCACAAUGGGCGGAAGCCUGAUGCAGAAACGCCGCGUGCGGGAUGACGGCCUUCGGGUUGUAAACCGCUUUCGCCUGUGACGAAGCGUGAGUGACGGUAAUGGGUAAAGAAGCACCGGCUAACUACGUG